rnacentral:snoRNA from 1 species
AUGCCGUGAUGUGGGCAUUGUCUCUUCAUCUCUUUGAAUCUCUCCCAUGACUCUACUAAAGACUCACCAGCCAACUGUCUGAAAUUCUGAAUUGAUCUC